UACGAAGGGGGCUAGCGUUGCUCGGGAUCACUGGGCGUAAAGGGCGCGUAGGCGGACUCUUAAGUCGGGGGUGAAAGCCCAGGGCUCAACCCUGGAAUAGCCUUCGAUACUGGGAGUCUUGAGUUCGGAAGAGGUUGGUGGAAUUGCGAGUGUAGAGGUGAAAUUCGUAGAUAUUCGCAAGAACACCAGUGGCGAAGGCGGCCAACUGGUCCGAUACUGACGCUGAGGCGCGAAAGCGUGGGGAGCAAACAGG
rnacentral:rRNA from 1 species